rnacentral:rRNA from 1 species
GGAGCACGCCGCGUGAGUGAUGAAGGUUUUCGGAUCGUAAAGCUCUGUUGUUAGGGAAGAACAAGUGCCGUUCAAAUAGGGCGGCACCUUGACGGUACCUAACCAGAAAGCCACGGCUAACUACGUGCCAGCAGCCGCGGUAAUACGUAGGUGGCAAGCGUUGUCCGGAAUUAUUGGGCGUAAAGGGCUCGCAGGCGGUUUCUUAAGUCUGAUGUGAAAGCCCCCGGCUCAACCGGGGAGGGUCAUUGGAAACUGGGGAACUUGAGUGCAGAAGAGGAGAGUGGAAUUCCACGUGUAGCGGUGAAAUGCGUAGAGAUGUGGAGGAACACCAGUGGCGAAGGCGACUCUCUGGUCUGUAACUGACGCUGAGGAGCGAAAGCGUGGGGAGCGAACAGGAUUAGAUACCCUGGUAGUCCACGCCGUAAACGAUGAGUGCUAAGUGUUAGGGGGUUUCCGCCCCUUAGUGCUGCAGCUAACGCAUUAAGCACUCC